rnacentral:rRNA from 1 species
GAUGAACGCUGGCGGCGUGCCUAACACAUGCAAGUUGAACGAAGCAAUCAAGACAGAAUCCUUCGGGAGGAAGAUUUGAUUGACUGAGUGGCGGACGGGUGAGUAACGCGUGGGUAACCUGCCUUGUACAGGGGGAUAACAGUUAGAAACGACUGCUAAUACCGCAUAAGCGCACGAUAUCGCAUGAUAUAGUGUGAAAAGUUUUUCGGUACAAGAUGGACCCGCGUCUGAUUAGCUAGUUGGUGAGGUAACGGCUCACCAAGGCGACGAUCAGUAGCCGACCUGAGAGGGUGACCGGCCACAUUGGGACUGAGACACGGCCCAAACUCC